rnacentral:tRNA from 1 species
GCCUUCGUAGUGUAGUGGUCAGCACGCUCGACGCGUAUUCGAGAGGUCCGUGGUUCGAGUCCCGCCGAGAGCA